CGAGCUGAAGCUCGUUAAGGAGAGUAUCGUGACGAUGGUGAUCUAACCUUCUGCCAUCUCUCAAAGGAUCUUCAGAGGAGGCCGGCAGCUGCAGUUGUCUCUGUCCCUGUGCUGAUCGAGUGUGCAUACUCAGCCAUACUGAAUAAUGCACGGCACCUGCCUGGGCUGAAGGAGGCCUGCUGUGUGCUGAAGAAAGAAAAAUACAGAUCGCUAAUUGACUUUGGUUCCUCAUGCUAUGCUAAUGAAUAUUCCAUGAGGCAGGGAUGAGGCACAAUGCGUGCCGUCCUGUGAGGAGCCACUGCCAUACUUGGAACAAAACUGGCCACUGCCACAUACAUCAUGAUCUGGCCAGACUUGUAUCCAACAGAGGACAGAAGGAAGGGAAAUUCCUUUUCAACUCUGCUACAGAUUUCUAUCAUGUUUUAACAGGACAACUAGGACUACCAGUUACUGUACAUGAGUAUGUGGUAGUAGCACUACAAUACUGUACAUUCCUCUACACAAUGCUAAUAAAAUGCAUGCAAUUACCAAGAAAAAAACAUGUAAUCAGAUCAAUUUAUCAGUUUAAAACCACUGAUCUAAUGUGCAUAAAGUAUAUUCUCACCUGGUAUACUGUAAAAAUGCAAUAUGAUCAAUUUGUUUUAUUCCCAUUCAAAGAAACAUAUUUUGUCG
ensembl:lncRNA